rnacentral:rRNA from 1 species
GACGAACGCUGGCGGCGUGCUUAACACAUGCAAGUCGAACGGAAAGGCCCUGCUUUUGUGGGGUGCUCGAGUGGCGAACGGGUGAGUAACACGUGAGUAACCUGCCCUUGACUUUGGGAUAACUUCAGGAAACUGGGGCUAAUACCGGAUAGGAGCUCCUGCUGCAUGGUGGGGGUUGGAAGGUUCGGGCGGUUGGGGAUGGACUCGCGGCUUAUCAGCUUGUUGGUGGGGUAGUGGCUUACCAAGGCUUUGACGGGUAGCCGGCCUGAGAGGGUGACCGGCCACAUUGGGACUGAGAUACGGCCCAGACUCCUACGGGAGGCAGCAGUGGGGAAUAUUGCACAAUGGGCGGAAGCCUGAUGCAGCAACGCCGCGUGCGGGAUGACGGCCUUCGGGUUGUAAACCGCUUUCGCCUGUGACGAAGCGUGAGUGACGGUAAUGGGUAAAGAAGCACCGGCUAACUACGUG